AAUAUGGGACAAUGGGCGAAAGCCUGAUCGAGCCAUGCCGCGUGUGUGAAGAAGGUCUUCGGUUUNUCGAGUACGUUAAGUUGGGANGACGGGCAGUAUGUUAAUACCUUGAUGUUUUGACGUUACCGACAGAAUAAGCACCCGCUAACGUCGUGCCAGCAGCCGCGGUAAUACGAAGGGUGCAAGGUUUAAUCGGAAUUACUGGGCGUAAAGCGCGCGUAGGUUGUUCGUUAAGUUGGGUUAGAAAGCCCCGGGUUCAACCUGGGAACUUCAUUCAAAACUGACGAGCUAGAGUACGGUAGAGGGUGGUGGAAUUUCCUGUGUAGCGGUGAAAUGGGUAGAUGUAGGAAGGAACACCAGUGGAGAAGGCGACCACCUGGACUGAUACUGAAACUGAGGUGCGAAAGCGUGGGGAGCAAACAGG
rnacentral:rRNA from 1 species